rnacentral:rRNA from 1 species
AGUUCGGAUUGGAGUCUGCAACCCGACUCCAUGAAGCUGGAUUCGCUAGUAAUCGCGCAUCAGCCACGGCGCGGUGAAUACGUUCCCGGGCCUUGUACACACCGCCCGUCAAGCCAUGGAAGCCGGGGGUGCCUGAAGUGCGCUGCCGCAAGGAGCGCCCUAGGGUAAAACCGGUGACUGGGGCUAAGUCGUAACAAGGUAGC